rnacentral:rRNA from 1 species
GACGAACGCUGGCGGCGUGCCUAAUACAUGCAAGUCGAGCGGACCAAUAGAAGCUUGCUUCUAUUGGUUAGCGGCGGACGGGUGAGUAACACGUGGGCAACCUGCCUGUAAGACUGGGAUAACUUCGGGAAACCGGAGCUAAUACCGGAUAAUUCAUCCCCUCGCAUGAGGGGGUGCUGAAAGUCGGUUCACGCUGACACUUACAGAUGGGCCUGCGGCGCAUUAGCUAGUUGGUGAGGUAAUGGCUCACCAAGGCGACGAGGCGUAGCCGACCUGAGAGGUUGAGAGGCCACACUGGGACAGGUAACCGGCCCAGACUCCUACGGGAGGCAGCAGUAGGGAAUCUACCACAAUGGACGAAAGUCUGAUGGAGCAACGCCGCGCGAGCGAUGAAGGCCUUCGGGUCGUAAAGCUCUGUUGUUAGGGAAGAACAAGUACCGGAGUAACUGCCGGUACCUUGACGGUACCUAACCAGAAAGCCACGGCUAACUACGUGCCAGCCGCCGCAGUAA